UACGUAGGGUGCAAGCGUUGUCCGGAAUUAUUGGGCGUAAAGAGCUCGUAGGCGGUCUGUCGCGUCUGCUGUGAAAACUCAGGGCUUAACCCUGAGCUUGCAGUGGGUACGGGCAGACUAGAGUGCGGUAGGGGAGACUGGAAUUCCCGGUGUAGAGGUGAAAUUCGUAGAUAUCGGGAGGAACACCGGUGGCGAAGGCGGCGACCUGGGUAGAUACUGACGCUGAGGUGCGAAAGCGUGGGGAGCAAACAGG
rnacentral:rRNA from 1 species